UAGAAUUCCUUUCAGUAGCACCUUAGAGACCAACUAAGUUUGUUAUUGGUAUGAGCUUUCGUGUGCAUGCACACUUCUUCAGAUACACACCAACUAAGUUUGUUAUUGGUAAGUUUGUUAUUGCAUGCACACGAAAGCUCAUACCAAUAACAAACUUAGUUGGUCUCUAAGGUGCUACUGGAAGGAUUUUUUC